rnacentral:lncRNA from 1 species
AUUCUUAUCUAAAUCUGAAAUUAAAACUCAAAGUAUUAAUGUUAAAGGAUUUUAUAUUUUGCAGUAUUUGUUCCCGUUUCUCUGCAUUCGCAUGCUUCAUCUGUACCACUGUUCAAUGAGCUCAAUUUCUCCGACUGAUGUGAACAAGUCCAGUUCAACUUAGGUGUUUUAGACUUAGACUUGGCACUUCAAGUUGAGAAACUCGCUGAUCUUACUGAUGAGAGCAGUGCUAAUGAAAAAUCUUUCCAUAAAGCUUGGGAAACGUCAAAUAGAUUAAGCUCAAUGUUUAUGCGGAUGACCUUAGCAAAGAAUAUCAAGUCUACUAUCCCUCAAACUGAGAAUGCUAAGGAAUAUAUGAAGUUUGUGGAAGCACGUUUCCAAACAGUUGACAAAUCAGAAUAUAUGAAGUUUGUGGAAGCACGUUUCCAAACAGUUGACAAAUCACUUGUUGGCACACUGAUGGGUACCUUGACCACCAUGAAAUUUGUUGGUUCUCAUACCAUGCAUGAGCAUGUUACUGAAAUGAGUAACAUUGCAGCAAGACUUAAAACUCUUGAGAUGACUGUGAAUGAAAACUUUAUGGUACAAUUUAUCAUCAACUCCUUGCCUCCUAAGUACGGUCCAUUCCAUAUGAACUAUAAUACCUUAAAGAAUAAAUGGAAUGUGAAUGAAUUACACAGUAUGCUCGUGUAAGAGGAGACAAGGCUUAAGAAUGAAGGAACUCAUUCUGUUCAUCUCGUAAAUCAUCAAGGAGCUGGAAAGAAAUAUAAGAAAAGAUCUGGAAAUGGCAUUAAGCAAGGACCACUAAAGAUAAAUGAGUCUUCUGCCCAAAUCUACAAUAAGGAACAUAAGAAGGAUACAUGUCAUUUCUUUCGCAAACCUGGGCACCAUAAAAAGAACUGCCUAAAACAUAAGGCAUGGUUCGAAAGUAAAGGUAAGAUUAUUUCUUAUGUAUGUUUCAAAUCUAAUUUGGCAGAAGUUCUUUAUAAUACUUGGUGGAUUGAUUCCGGAUGUACCACUCAUGUUACUAAUACGAUGCAGGGAUUCUUUUCAACCCAAAACAUAAAUCCAAAUGAAAAGUUUGUCCUCAUGGGAAAUCGAGUCAAAGCUCCAGUUGAAGCCAUUGGAACUUAUCGUUUGAUUUUAGAUACAGGACAUCAUUUAGAUUUAUUUUAGACUCUUUAUGUACCUUCUAUUUCUCGUAAUUUAGUUUCCUUAUCGAAACUUGAUUCUGUUGGAUAUUUUUUUGAUGGUGGAAAUGAAUGUUUAAAUUUGUUUAAAC